ensembl:lncRNA
CUGCUCCUGAAGGGGUGGGGUGGGUAGCUGUAUUGUCUAGUCUACCCUCUCCUUUCUGAGGAGAGCCCAAGGCCAGUUAGUGGCUUGGCCUGGCCUCUGAGUCCGACACCUGCCUUACAUCAUGCUGUUCCUAGAUGUAGUUCUUAGGGGGAGGAGGAAGGGGGGCACUUACCUUGAUCUCCCCACCCUCAGUGUGACUCCAGCAGGGCUCUGACGACAGUACACAGCCCUAGUGGGGGAUUGAAGAUGGCCUGUAAGGAGGCAGGGCGAGGAGGGAAGAGCCUUGUGCAAAGGAAGACCAGAGACAGCUGAGCUUGGACCGCCCUCACCUGCAGAAAAUCAACACCAGGGCCCUUACCCUCAGACUAACGUUUCUUGUCGCUGCACCUCUCAGCAGCUCUGAUGGCUCGUAGGGUGCUGAGUGCCAUCCUGAUGUUUCAGUGCCCAGAAAGGUCAGCACAUCUCUUGGGUGAAUUUCAGAGGGGACUGAUAAACAUCUUGGGAGACUGGAAGAAAAGAUCAAAGGGAUCAGAGGAUGGCCAAUUUUUUGUGUAAGCUCAUUAGGUUUUAGGUAUGCUGGCACUCAAGAAUAAGAGAAGAACUUUCCAGUUACGAGCACCCAAGGACCAGAAGAGGAAGGAACACAUUUCAAAUGGAAUCUACCCAGUUGGAGACCAAAGAAGACUGUCCAAAUCUCUGUACUCAUCUUGGCUGUGGGGUCCUGUCACUCAGUCGUGUCUGACUCUGCGACUCCCAUGGACUUCAGCACACCAGGCUUCCCUGUCCUUCACGAUCUCCCGGAAUUUGCUCAAACUCAUCUCCAUUGAAUCAGUGAUGCUAUCCAACCAUCUCAUCCUGUGUCAUCCCCUUCUCCUCCUGCCUUCAAUCUUUGCCAUCAUCAGAGUCUUUCCCAAUGAAUCAGCUCUUCACAUCCAGUGGCCCAAGUAUUAGCACAACAUCCAUCAUCAAGUAGGCACUGGAUAAAGAGUGCCGCUCUUUGUCUCAUCAUAAUCUUGUCUUCGGGCUUCCUGGUGGUCCAGUGUUUAAGAAUCUGCCUGCCAACGCAGGGGACACGAUUCAGUCCCUGGUUGGGGAAGAUCCCACAUGCUGCGGGGCAGCUAAGCCCAGGAACACAACUACUGAAGCCCUCGCGUGCCUGUGUUCCGCAACUAGAGAAGUGGCCACAGUGAGAAGCCUAUGCACCUCAACUAGAGAAUAGCCCCUGCUCUCCACAGCUAGAGAAAAGCCCGUUCGCAACAACAAAGACCCAG